UACGUAGGUGGCAAGCGUUAUCCGGAAUUAUUGGGCGUAAAGAGCGCACAGGUGGUUGAUUAAGUCUGAUGUGAAAGCCCACGGCUUAACCGUGGAGGGUCAUUGGAAACUGGGGAACUUGAGUGCAGAAGAGGAAAGUGGAAUUCCAAGUGUAGCGGUGGAAUGCGUAGAUAUUUGGAGGAACGCCAGUGGCGAAGGCGACUUUCUGGUCUGUAACUGACACUGAGGCUCGAAAGCGUGGGGAGCGAACAGGAUUAGAUACCCGGGUAGGUCCA
rnacentral:rRNA from 1 species